rnacentral:rRNA from 1 species
AUUGAACGCUGGCGGCAGGCCUAACACAUGCAAGUCGACCGCGUGGCGGACGGGUGAGUAAUGUCUGGGAAACUGCCUGAUGGAGGGGGAUAACUACUGGAAACGGUAGCUAAUACCGCAUACCAUCGGAUGUGCCCAGAUGGGAUUAGCUAUUAGGUGGGGUAAAGGCUCACCUAGGCGACUAUCCCUAGCUGGUCUGAGAGGAUGACCAGCCACACGGGAACUGAGACACGGUCCAGACUCCUACGGGAGGCAGCAGUGGGGAAUAUUGAACAAUGGGCGCAAGCCUGAGUCAGCCAUGCCGCGUGUAUGAAGAAGGCCUUCGGGUUGUAAAGUACUUUCAGCGGGGAGGCUUUACCCGAAGAAGAAGCACCGGCUAACUCCGUGCCAGCAGCCGCGGUAAUUC